ensembl:lncRNA
GGCGCCGGCCGGAGCGCCGGGUCCCUGAGCGUCUCCGCGUCCGCGGCCUCGGGGUCGCCGCUGCUCUUCUGCGGUGCCGGGAAGAGACAGCGCUAAUCACCCAUUUGUGUGUGACAGUUAUUGUAUUCUUAAAUGCAUAACUCUUGGAGACGUUGGACGGUUACAGAAAAAACACACACUGCGCUAAUAUAUAUUAGGAAUAGAAAACAAGUCACCCUCCCAGCGAUGUGUCGCCAGUUUGGGAUGCUCUGACGCCCUGGCGCUGGCCGCGGAGCUCCUGCCCCGGACGGUCGUGUUGGGGCGGCGGUCCCCGCGGAGCGCGGGCGGCCCUUGAAGUAGCUCCUAGUUACGUUGUGAAGGAGGCGAACUGGAGGAGUAGCAGCCCCCAAGCCCCCCGGUACAUAGUUGUAUGUUCUUUGUUGUGGGUCCUUCUAGUUGUGGCAUGUGGGACGCUGCCUCAGCGUGGUUUGAUGAGCAGUGCCACGUCCGCGUCCAGGAUUCGAACCAAAAAACACUGGGCUGCCUGCAGCGGAGCGCGAGAACUUAACCACUCGGCCACGGGGCCAGCCCCAGGAAAGAAGAAUUUUAAUGCUCACUGUGUUCUAGCUAUACGCAGAGUGGCAAAAAUUUUGAGUUGUGCAGCGCACAUGUUGCCAACAGGUUGAUCAAGAAGGCGUGCUGCCGUCUGUGUCAGCUCUAAAACUAUGAAGCAGUUGAUUCUCGAAGAGGUCAAGUAACUGCCCAAGUCACACAGUCAAGCUCUAUUCACAUCGGAUUCACUUUCCCUGUAAAAAGAGGAGGAAAUAAUAUGACCAAUUGCAUCCAUGCUGAGACAGUUUACAAAGAGAAGCUAACAUUUCAUAAUGCCUACUUAAUAAAAUUCACCUUGCAAGCUCUGUGAACUCACUUGCAUGUAUGUGUUGCAGAAUUUCUCAUUUAUGACCCACUAUCCACCUGAUGAUGAAAACAGCAGCAGGGAAAGAGAAGGCUGGACUCUCUCCUUUUCAUUACCCCUACCGAGGUUUCUCAACCUCAGCACUGUUGACAUUUAGGCCAGAUAAUUCUUUGCUACAUAAUGGGCAGAGGAAGACCUGCCCCAGGGAUGACUGACUGGUCCCAAGGGCUCAAACGAGGCCCUCUAGCUCUGUCCUCUGCAUUUCCCUUUGGGCUUGGUCUCAUUUUCUCCUAUUCUAUAUAAUCUUCCUAUAUGAGUCAAGGAUGUGCCCUGAGGUAGCUCCAGGUUGAGUCAGCCCAAAUCAUAAAUCCCAGAGGGAAGAAAAUACUUGAUUUCUAUCCCAGUAUUUAAAAAUCCCUGGAAAGGGCUCUCCUUCUCUGGCUUGGUUGGGAUAUAUGUGGACACCCAGUUUGGACCAACCUCUGUGUUCAGGGGAUGGGCACUAUAAAUUGGCAGGUUUCACCAGAACCGUGUGGUUGAAGAGGAGGUGGAGAAAUUCAACAAGGGAAGGAAGUGCUGUUCCCCCAAGAUGGAUGCAGGACAGAGGCAACAUUUGUCCACUACUGUUAGAAUAGACUCCUUCAAGUGGGAUUUCUAGGUCAAAAGGUUAGAGACGCAUGCAAGUUGGGCUUUGGUUUCAAUAUCUGGCCCAAAUCUGCUAACUGGCUUUGGUUUGGUCUUGACCGUUGGAAGGCCAAAUAGCCUGCUUCCAUGUCAUUUGUGUUCAUGGCAUCCAUGAUCCUAUGAUCGUUCAUCUGUCUUAGCAGCAUAAAAUGUCAGUAAUACUCCAGACACGUCACUUCGUCUAGUGUUAACAUUUCCAUAUUCGCUUUCAAAGAUAGGCAAUUGUGCUGAAAAUCUCCUUCUAACCUUUAUGUUGGCCUCCUGUCAGUAAGUGAACAUGCCGGGAACUAAAACCCACCCUCCGCUAAGGUCAUGAGUGUGGGAGGGAGGAGAGUCCAAAGGGCCUGAGUAUGGCAGCUGACCGUGGAUGCUGGGCUCUGGCCAUCUCUGUCCAAGAGGCCAGGGGUCAACUGGGUUUGAGAGGUGGGAAAGCUUUUGCUGAGUUGGGAGAAUAUUUUAAGUUCUACCCAAUCUUUUAAGAUGAUUGUUUAAAAUGUUUGCUCUGGUCACAUUUCUGUGCCUGAGGCAAAUCUGCAAUGUCCUUCCCCAGUUUUCACUCUGUGGACAGGGCACAGUGCAAAAACAACUGCAGGGAACCAGGCCCUGGAUCAUGGCGCUAUCCUGCUUUCUGUAAGAUUCUUACUGCGUCUUAUGGCUCAAGGGAAACAAUACGGGACAGAGACAGGAAACCUUGCUUCUAGUCUCGGCUUUACCUCUAACUAGUUGUAUGGUGGAAGAUGAGCCAUAUGACUUCCGUGGGUCACUACUGUAGUGGGUUCUUCUUCCUUUAAAAAAAUAAUGUCAGGGCUGGCAUGUGGUGUAGUGGUUAAGUUCGUGAACUCUGCUUUGGUGGCCCAGGUUUCAUGGGUUUGGAACCCAGGUGCAGACCUAGACAUUGCUGAUCAAGCCAUGCUGUGGCAGCAUCCCACAUACAAAAUAAAAGAAGAUUGGCACAGAUGUUAGCUCAGGACCAAUCUUCCUCACCAAAAAAAAAAGUCCUUCGAGUGCACAGAAUUGGCUUAAUCCUAAUCCUUGUUCAUGACAUAUUUUAGUCAUUGGUCCAUGCAAGGCUCUUUUCCAUUCAUUCAUAAGUCCAUUUCUAUUUCAUCAUCUAUGAAAACACCACCCAACACAAAAGCUGGGUCAUUGACAUUUGCCUGCAACUACCUUGUCAUCCGCCCCCAUCUUCUUCUCCCUUCUGUCUGCUUCCCACCAGCUUAGGAAAUUACCAUUCUAAAUCUCAUAUAUCUUAUUCUCAUACUUUCCUUUUUAUGUAGUUUUAUCACAUUUACAUUUAUUCCUAAAAAGUAUAUAUUUUUUGUUCUAGUUGUUUUUAAUUUUAUGAAAAGGACAUCCUGUGUGGGAAGUCUUUUAGUACUUAUUUUUCACUCAAAAUUAAUUUCAAGAUUUAUCUAUAUUUGCAGGAGAUAAAAGAUGGUCACUAAUUCUUUCAUGCUUCUCCCAUUGAGAAGGGAGUUCUAUGGCCCCUCCCCUUGAAUCUGGGCAGGCUCUGUGCCUGCUUUGACCAAUAAAAUAUGGUGGAAGUGAUGCCAUGCAAGUUUUGGGUCCAGGCCUUAAGAAACUGGCAACUUUCACUUCCUGUCUCUUUGAACACUCUGGGAGCCCUGGACCACCACAUGAGACAUCCCACUACUCUGAGGCAACUGUGCUGAAGAGGCCACAUGCAGGCUCUUUGGUGGACAUUCCAAGCUGAGCCCUAUCUUCCAACCAUCCCUGCCACCAUGGCAGGCAUGUGAAUGGAGCCACUUUGGACCCUCCAGAUCAGCCCACCAACUGGCUGAAUGCCACUGAGGGACCUUAGUCAGUACCAUGUGGAGCUGAGCCCUGUCUGAAUUCUUGACCCACAAAAUCAUGAAAUAUAAUAAAAUGGCUGUUUUAAGCCAUUACAUUUUAAGCCAAUUAAGUUUUGGGGUGGUUUGUUACACAGCAAUAAAUAACUGAAAAACACUGAUGCGGAAGUUGCUGUACUACUAUUACAUGGUGUGAAUACAGCACAGAUUACUUAUUCAUUCUCCUGUCAGUGGGCUUUUGGGUUGUUUCCACGGUUUUGCUAUUAGGAACAUUUUUGUACACGUCUCUUAGUGUACAAGUAUAAGAGUUUCCUUGAGUAUAUUUCUAAUGGUGGAGUUUUUGGGUUGCAGGACACAUAAAUCUUUAGCUUUACAAGAUUAUCUUAAACUGUUUACCAAAAUGGCUCUACCAAUACAUGCUCCCUCUACCAAUGAAUAACACAACCUGUUGAUCCCCAUCCUCUUUCACACUUAGUGUUGUCAGUUAUAAUUUUUGUCCUUUGAAUACAGUUACAAUGUAUCAUAUUGCGGUCUUGAUUUGCAUUUCCCUGACUGUUUAUGAGAGUGAACAUUUUUCCGUAUGUUUGUUACCCAUGUGCGCAUCCUCUUCUCUGAAAUGCCUGCGCAUGUCUUUUGCCCAUUUUCUUCCUACUGGGUCAUUUGUCCUUUUCAUUGUUGUUGUAGUUUGUUGAUUUGUUGGAGUUCUUCAUAUAUUCUUAAUA